rnacentral:rRNA from 1 species
UGGGGAAUAUUGGACAAUGGGGGCAACCCUGAUCCAGCGAUGCCGCGUGUGUGACGAAGGUCUUCGGAUUGUAAAGCUCUUUUUGGCGGGGACGAUAAUGACGGUACCCGCAGAAUAAGCCCCGGCUAACUUCGUGCCAGCAGCCGCGGUAAUACGAAGGGGGCUAGCGUUGUUCGGAAUCACUGGGCGUAAAGCGCACGUAGGCGGAUUUGUUAGUCAGGGGUGAAAUCCCGGGGCUCAACCUCGGAACUGCCUCUGAUACUGCAAAUCUCGAGUCCGAUAGAGGUGAGUGGAAUUCCUAGUGUAGAGGUGAAAUUCGUAGAUAUUAGGAAGAACACCAGUGGCGAAGGCGGCUCACUGGAUCGGUACUGACGCUGAGGUGCGAAAGCGUGGGGAGCAAACAGGAUUAGAUACCCUAGUAGUCCCUGAGCGGGCUGGCAAGGCGCAU